rnacentral:lncRNA from 1 species
UUUCUGAAACUUGGAGGCGGGACGGGAGGACGACGACGCAACGGAAGCGACGCCAGCGGCGGACGCGGCGGCGGCUGCUGCUUCCCCGGCGGUGGCGCGCUCUCCUCCGUCUCCAUUUCUCCGGAACCGCGCGCCGCGCAGCGCCACCGCAGGAGAGGCUCACCGGCGAGCGCAAGCGACCUUCCCUCAGAUCGGAGCUGCAGCGCUUACCCUGCUGUGUCCCGUCUUCGCCUCCCCGAGGGUCACCCACCACUGCCGCUGAUUUCACAAGGUACGUCCUCCCAGUCGCCAUCACAUAUCCGCCAGAUGUUCGACGAAAUUCCUACACGGUUCGGUGGUUUUAGUUGGGGUACAUUUUGUCCUCUGGAGAAUUGCAAAAGAAAGGCAGCAAUGAAUUGGUUUGCUCUAGUGUUGAGAUUCAUAGGAUCUGUUCUUCGUACGAGCCGAGGCUGUAGUCGACUUCGUGCACUUCUUGCUGCUGAUACUAGUGAAGGGAAAUCUACAGGAAAAGAGAACAAGAGCAUCAACACCGGUAGAUUUGACAGAGUCAAUAACAUUGUUGGGGGACUACAUGAUGUAUUCAGUGGAUUAGCGGUUGCCGUGGAUUGUGUUGGGGGAAUCGGCGCUAUCACUAGUCUUGUUCGUCAUGUUUAUGAUGCCCAAAUAGCUGCUGCACAGUGGAAUGGGAAGGAACUGAUAGAUGUGCCAGAAGAUAUAACUCUGGAGCUCGCUAUUGAAAUAUGGCAGAUCUUCUUAGAACAUGCAGCUGGCGAUGUCAUUGACAAGGCCCCAAGUCUUUCAGUUAAGGUGGGGCAACAGAUUAUACUGCGAGAAAAAAUCAAAGCAGCAUCAAUGAAGUUACAAUCGAAGAAAGCGGCUAUAGAGGUACUUGAGAGCCAUAUCAAGUGCACAGAAGAAAUUGUAAAAGCCAAAAUAGGGAAAGAAAGAAAAAACUAUGAGAAGGAAUUUUCUUUUGCCAGGGGUCUGGGUGGCCAUAUUCCAUAUGAAGCAAUGUUUGUAUGGUAUUGCUACUAUUUGGAGUUUGGAGGUCUUCACAUGAAACGCGAGCGUGCAUUCAAUCAAUCAGCUCAACCCUCGUCGGCGGCGUGGUCAGUGUCCCAUGAUCCCCAUCCGCGAUGGACCUGCAAAUGCAAUCCUAGUAGAGUUUCCUUCUCCGUUUCGAACAAGAACCCCUGUACUUUACAUCAAGCUCGAUUACAAAAUCUGAUCCAAUACUUCCAAUGCCCUAUGACCCAGAUUGGCCAAAGAAAAAAAAAUCGAAAUCGCCAGACCUGCACCAAAGGCAUGGAUGCGGCGGGCCGCCGCAUCGUUCGCGCGCUCAUCCGGGCCAAUGAUGCGAUGGAGCCUGUGACCGACACAAUCGCCUCCGCCGCCGCCCAUGUCGGCCUCGUCUACGGCGCGAUGGAAGUUGUUCGGGACAUUCGCGUCGUCGUCGGCGGCAUGCUCAGAGUUGCUCGGGGCAGCGGAGAUGGCGGCCAAGCUGAAGCUGCUCCUGCUGUCGACCUCGCCGGCGCUACUGGAAUGGAGAAUGAACUGACCUGCAGACGAACGACAUCAGAUCAUUGCCAUCAGAAGCUAAACCACGGAAAGGGGAGAAAUGUUCAAUUUGAUGAUCUUCCAGAGGAUGUGAUAUGCUUGAUAUUUUCGAAGCUGCAGCUGAAAGAUCUUGUAAGCACCAGUGUCUUGUCAAGCAAAUGGAAACAUAUGUGGACAAUUUGUCCAACACUAAGAUUUGAUAGCAGUACACUGUGUGGCAGCAACAUGUGCAGUGCAGAACAAUUUACUCAGAAAUUCAUUGACAACGUUAAUGCGGUAUUGCAGCAGCACCGUGGCAAACUGGUUGAAGCACUAGAGAUCAAAAUUGAUUUUAACAGCAGACUGGCUAAUCAUCUCAACAACUGGAUAACAAAAAUAGAAAUAGAUGCAGUUAAUCUUAAGGCUUUUGUAUACAAAGGAUUUAAGCUGCGUGUUGACUUAAGUGAAGCAAAAGGACUGGAAACUGUAGAUAUUGAAUUCUUUGGUAUAGCUUUAGAUUAUCUUCUUACUGCAAUUCCCAGUGCACUUCCCAGCGUGCAAAAUCUGACUAUUGAAGCUCGCAUUUUACAAGAGUCACCCUGGUUUGUGGAAACUUCAUGCAAGUUUUCUCAGCUCAAGUGCUUAAGGAUGUUGCUGCAUCACCGGUUUAGUGAUAACCGCAAUACUCUCGGCUUGGCUUCCUUUUUGAAGGCUGCCCCUCUCAUUGAACAAUUGGAGCUCGAUGUAAGCCAUGUUGAGCUGCUUGUGCACAUUGUGGAAAAUGCACCGGCCUUGGAGGCCUUAACGAUAGAUCGUACACAGAGAAGAGGCCGUCCUUUGCAUGAAUACUCGGCAAGAUUGGCUGGUAUCGCUUCUAGAGGAUACCUUGAUGGGAAAAUUCUGCCUACUACGAAGCUCGAACACCUCGCCUGCUCGGAAGCCAUGCUGGCGAGGCUGCGCGCGGCGUCGGACGCGGCGCGCGAGCUCGACGUCUGCGUGCGCCACGGCGACGACGACGACGACUACGUCGUCCUCCACGGCUGCGACCGCCGCCGCCAGCACUACGGCCACGGGCGCUCCUGCCUCCACGGCUGCUCCGGCGUCCGCGCCGCCGGCGGCCUGGUCCGCAUCGUCAGCGGCGCGCGGCACGUCCGCAGCGCGGUGGGCCGCUACCUCGCCGCCGCGGACGACGACGAGGAGCACGACGAGCUGUCCUCAUCGCCGCCGACGUCGUGGUCGGCCUACGACGUGGUCGUCGGCGGCAUCGACGUCGUCGUCGGCGUCUGCGACCUCGCCGAGUACGCUCGCGGCGCUCUGGCCCGCCUCCGCCGGAUGUGCCCGGGCGUUGGCAUCCCAGUCAGGUUCAGGAUUGGAAAGAAGAAAGAAGAUUGCGGUCCCAAACGAAUCCGCAAGCCAGGGACAAAAGAGGUUCGAUUUGAAGACCUUUCUGAGGAUAUGCAAAACAUGAUAUUUUCAAAAUUGCCGCUGAAAGAGACUGUAAGGACUAGCGUUCUGUCAAGUAAAUGGAGACAUCUGUGGAAAAUUUCCCCAAAACUAAGAUUUGAUGGCAGCACAAUGCGUGGGGAAUACAUGUUGGAGAAACUCGUUGGCAAUGUUAAUGCGACCUUGAAACAGCAGCGUGGGCGGAUGGCUGAAGCUUUAGAGGUCAAACUUGAAUUUCAAAGCAGGCUAGUUGCUUUUACAGGCGAAAAAAGCAUUCUGGUUGAUCAUCUCAACAAUUGGGAAUUCAGGGAUCGCCAUGACCGCUACAUGUUUCCCUUUGAACUCUUGGAUGGAAAAGCCGCAUCUUGCUUGCAGCAAAUUCAACUAAGUUUUGUAUCUCUCAAGCCACCAACCCAAUUCAGUGGUUUCCCAAAGCUGAAAAAGCUUAGCCUGCACCUAGUACAGGUCAUCGCAAAGGAUCUUCAAGGCUUACUUUCAAGUUGUUCUAAUCUUGAGUGGUUGAGUAUUGUUAGAUGCAAUCUUAAUGAUGAUGAACUGAAGGUUGAUUGUGCACUGUCCCGACUGCUAUACUUGCGUAUUGCAAACUGUGAGAUAUCAAAGAUAGAAAUGUAUGCUCUCAAGCUCAAGACUUUCAUUUACGAAGGAGCACAGCUGCCUGUUGAUCCCAUCCAAGCACAGGAACUAGAAGUUGCAGAUAUCGUUUUCAAGGGUGAUAUAACUUUUCAGUAUGCUCUCACUGUGCUCCCUGUGGUGUUUCCAAGCGUGCAAAAUCUGACUGUGCAUGCUAAUUUUGGGCUACAGUUUCCUUGGUUAUUGUCAACUAAAUCAAAGUUUAUUCAACUUAAGUAUUUGAAGUUGCUAUUGCCUCAAUGUUCUGGAGAUAUGGACAACAUUGUCUAUCUAGCUUCUUUUCUGAAGGCUGCCCCUCUCCUUGAAGUUUUGGAGAUCCAUUUCAAUGUACCUGGCUACGAAGAUGCAGGGAUACCGGUUCUCAGGAGCCUCCCAAAGUGUCCAUACAAGAACCUGAAGAGCAUAUACAUCACAGGGUUCAGAGGCCUGAAAGGCCAAGCUGAAUUUCUUGUCCACGCAGUGGAAAAUGCCCCGGCUCUGGAGGUGCUAACCAUUGACACAGCAACGAAAAUAGGCGUCCGUUCUGCUCAACACAUCGAAAGCGCCGGUGGUUACGUUGCUAGAAGCUGCCUUGCAAGCAUUGUUUCACCCAAGACCAAGUUUCAGAUAGUUGAUACAGCUAGGUAGAGUAGAUACCGAGUACUAGUACUGUGUCAGGUACUACGUAUGCAGUUAUUGCCUGUUGUGUUUGUGAAUUUUUGAUACGUACUACGCUCUUUCGUCUGGGCCCCUGGGGUGCUUGCAUCACAUCUGAACAUGCGUACGCGAAGAUUGGCACACAGAUG